GACGAAGAACGUAGCGAAAUGCGAUAAGUAAUGUGAAUUGCAGAAUUCAGUGAAUCAUCGAAUCUUUGAACGCACAUUGCGCCCGCCAGUAUUCUGGCGGGCAUGCCUGUCCGAGCGUCAUUUCAACCAUCAAGCCCCGGGCUUGUGUUGGGGACCUGCGUCCGACGCAGGCCCUGAAAACCAGUGGCGGGCUCGCUGUCCACACCGAGCGUAGUAACUAACCUCGCUAUGGAGUGGCGCGGGCGCCUGCCGUAAAACCCCCAAUUUCACAAGGUUGACCUCGGAUCAGGUAGGAAUACCCGCUGAACUUAAGCAUAUCAAUAAGCGGAGGA
rnacentral:misc_RNA from 1 species